AUUGAACGCUGGCGGCAUGGCUAAAACAUGCAAGUCGAGCGAGAAAGUGGAGCAAUCCAUGAGUAAAGCGGCGAAAGGGUGAGUAAUACGUUCCUACGUGCCUCGAGGUCGGGGAUAGCCAGGGGAAACUCUGGGUAAUACCCGAUGUGAUCGAGAGAUCAAAGGCUUGCCGCCUUGAGAGCGGGGAACGUCCUAUCAGGUCGUUGGUGAGGUAACGGCUCACCAAGCCUAAGACGGGUAGCAGGUGUGAGAGCACGGCCUGCCACAUCGAAACUGAGACACUGUUCGGACUCCUACGGGAGGCUGCAGUAACGAAUCUUCCGCAAUGCGCGAAAGCGUGACGGAGCAAUGCCGCGUGCAGGAUGAAGCCCCUCGGGGUGUAAACUGCUGUCAGGGUUUAGGAAGAAAGUGACCAAACCCAAAGGAAGAGACGACUAACUCUGUGCCAGCCGCCG
rnacentral:rRNA from 1 species